GCCCCCGUAGCUCAGCGGAUAGAGCAGCAGCCUUCUAAUCUGUCGGUCCCAGGUUCGAGUCCUGGCGGGGGCG
rnacentral:tRNA from 2 species